GAUGAACGCUGGCGGCGUGCCUAAUACAUGCAAGUCGAGCGAACAGACGAGGAGCUUGCUCCUUUGACGUUAGCGGCGGACGGGUGAGUAACACGUGGGUAACCUACCUAUAAGACUGGGAUAACUUCGGGAAACCGGAGCUAAUACCGGAUAAUAUUUCGAACCGCAUGGUUCGAUAGUGAAAGAUGGCUUUGCUAUCACUUAUAGAUGGACCUGCGCCGUAUUAGCUGGUUGGUAAGGUAACGGCUUACCAAGGCAACGAUACGUAGCCGACCUGAGAGGGUGAUCGGCCACACUGGAACUGAGACACGGUCCAGACUCCUACGGGAGGCAGCAGUAGGGAAUCUUCCGCAAUGGGCGAAAGCCUGACGGAGCAACGCCGCGUGAGUGAUGAAGGUCUUCGGAUCGUAAAACUCUGUUAUUAGGGAAGAACAAACGUGUAAGUAACUGUGCACGUCUUGACGGUACCUAAUCAGAAAGCCACGGCUAACUACGUG
rnacentral:rRNA from 1 species